rnacentral:rRNA from 1 species
CCUACGGGAGGCAGCAGUAGGGAAUAUUGCGCAAUGGAGGGAACUCUGACGCAGCGACGCCGCGUGAGCGAUGAAGGUCUUCGGAUCGUAAAGCUCUGUCCUUGGGGAAGAAGGGAGCCGUAAGGCUUCUUGACGGUACCCAUGGAGGAAGCCCCGGCUAACUACGUGCCAGCAGCCGCGGUAAU